rnacentral:rRNA from 1 species
CCUACGGGGAGCAGCAGUGAGGAAUAUUGGUCAAUGGACGAGAGUCUGAACCAGCCAAGUAGCGUGAAGGAUGACUGCCCUAUGGGUUGUAAACUUCUUUUAUAUGGGAAUAAAAUGUUCCACGUGUGGGAUUUUGUAUGUACCAUAUGAAUAAGGAUCGGCUAACUCCGUGCCAGCAGCCGCGGUAAUACGGAGGAUCCGAGCGUUAUCCAGAUUUAUUGGGUUUAAAGGGAGCGUAGGUGGAUUGUUAAGUCAGUUGUGAAAGUUUGCGGCUCAACCGUAAAAUUGCAGUUGAAACUGGCAGUCUUGAGUACAGUAGAGGUGGGCGGAAUUCGUGGUGUAGCGGUGAAAUGCUUAGAUAUCACGAAGAACUCCGAUUGCGAAGGCAGUUCACUGGACUGCAACUGACACUGAGGCUCGAAAGUGUGGGUAUCAAACAGGAUUAGAUACCCCUGUAGUC